GACGAACGCUGGCGGCGUGCUUAACACAUGCAAGUCGAACGGAAAGGCCCCCUUGUGGGGUACUCGAGUGGCGAACGGGUGAGUAACACGUGAGUAACCUACCCUUGACUUUGGGAUAACUUCAGGAAACUGGGGCUAAUACCGGAUAGGAGCUCCUGCUGCAUGGUGGGGGUUGGAAAGUUUCGGCGGUUGGGGAUGGACUCGCGGCUUAUCAGCUUGUUGGUGGGGUAGUGGCUCACCAAGGCUUUGACGGGUAGCCGGCCUGAGAGGGUGACCGGCCACAUUGGGACUGAGAUACGGCCCAGACUCCUACGGGAGGCAGCAGUGGGGAAUAUUGCACAAUGGGCGGAAGCCUGAUGCAGCAACGCUGCGUGCGGGAUGACGGCCUUCGGGUUGUAAACCGCUUUCGCCUGUGACGAAGCGUGAGUGACGGUAAUGGGUAAAGAAGCACCGGCUAACUACGUG
rnacentral:rRNA from 1 species